CGCUGGCGGCAGGCCUAACACAUGCAAGUCGGACGGUAGCACAGAGGAGCUUGCUCCUCGGGUGACGAGUGGCGGACGGGUGAGUAAUGUCUGGGGAUCUGCCCGAUAGAGGGGGAUAACCACUGGAAACGGUGGCUAAUACCGCAUAACGUCGCAAGACCAAAGAGGGGGACCUUCGGGCCUCUCACUAUCGGAUGAACCCAGAUGGGAUUAGCUAGUAGGCGGGGUAACGGCCCACCUAGGCGACGAUCCCUAGCUGGUCUGAGAGGAUGACCAGCCACACUGGAACUGAGACACGGUCCAGACUCCUACGGGAGGCAGCAGUGGGGAAUAUUGCACAAUGGGCGCAAGCCUGAUGCAGCCAUGCCGCGUGUAUGAAGAAGGCCUUCGGGUUGUAAAGUACUUUCAGCGGGGAGGAAGGCGAUGUGGUUAAUAACCNNNNCGAUUGACGUUACCCGCAGAAGAAGCACCGGCUAACUCCGUGCCAG
rnacentral:rRNA from 1 species